UACGUAGGGUGCAAGCGUUGUCCGGAUUUAUUGGGUUUAAAGGGUGCGUAGGUGGCUUUUUAAGUCAUGGGUGAAAGCCCGCAGCUCAACUGUGGAAUUGCCUGUGAUACUGAGGAGCUUGAGUGCGGUUGAGGCAGCUGGAAUUGGUGGUGUAGCGGUGAAAUGCAUAGAUACCACCAGGAACACCGAUUGCGAAGGCAGGUUGCUAAGCCGUAACUGACACUUAGGCACGAAAGCGUGGGAAGCAAACAGG
rnacentral:rRNA from 1 species